UACCCAGCAACUCCUAUCCCUACCUCCUCGUGAUACUGGACGGGGGAAGAUCGGGUAACUAACCCCGGUGGGAACUUUGGUCGUAUGCUGACAGGGAAAG
rnacentral:ribozyme from 1 species